CGGGCGGUGGGAAGGCGGGGGCGGCGUUCGGUGCGGGACUCAGCCCUGGGCUCGGGAGCAGGUGUUUGAAAAUGCGGGACCCACGGGGGGCUGGGGUGGGGGCCGAUAGUACUUCAGUAUAUGACGACGGGGCCUUGAUGGUGAAAGUGGAAGUGUUUGUAAACUGGAAACCGUAAGUCAGGGACUGUUUCUACAUCUACCGUGUCACUGAAACUGCUUGGCACAUCACUAAAAACUGAAGACCAAAUCCACAGGAGUAGAAGAAUCCUUAUAGACGUCUGAGAAAUCUUCAUUCAACAGACCUCAUUUGUAAGCAGCUCUCUAGUGAAUCACGAACUGUACCACGUGUUCAUAGCAGACCAUGUGUGGGAAAAUGAGUGUGGUGUUUGCACGUAAAAGCCAAAGUCCCACAAAAAUGAUUAAAUUGUCACUAGAUGACCUAGAGUUAAUUGAUUGAAUUCAGCACAGCAAUUUCUUUUAUCAGCCCGAGUGGAAGCUGGUAAAGAAGCCAAGAAUUCCCAGGCUUUCCCAGGCAAGUGUGGGGGAGCACUGGGGCGCCUUGUUCUUCUCCUCUGUCCAUCUGCAGGCCAAGUGUGCGUCGGCCACGGGCAAACUCUGAAUUGAGCUUUGUGCAAGUCUCUGGAAAGAACCCCAAUAUCAUGUGAUGAGCAAAAGUGACGGUAGUGGUGGCCAUGACAUCUGCAGAGUAGCCCUGUCCCUAUCUGCAGCGGAAUGCGUGUGGGCAUCUUUUAUGAGAACAAUCCACCCAGGAUAGAAUGGGGCUUUUGACAUCAGCGGAGACCAGGGCUGCUUACAAUGAGAGGCCUGUUGGUCAAAGGGAGGACUGUUUAAUGAACUGCGAAGCAGAGGCCAGCUCUGGCCAUCUGUACUUAGAAUCAUUAGAGCAACUCUUUACUGUCACUAGCGACAUUGUAUAGUACAAUAAAUUCAUAUUUCAAAAUUGUGAGCGUUAAAAUUUUCUUUGUGUGUGUGAUGAAAAACAUUAUAUAAAUGUUAGAUACUACCAUUUUAUUCGUAAGCAAGCCUGAAAAAGUAUCUCUCUUUUGGCUCUGAGGUCAGUAAUGAUAAUGGUUUUCUCCUUACACUGGAAAGCAAUGUUCUGUCAAGGACAUGAAAGCACUUUAUGAAAAUGAAAUUCAUUAAAGCCCUUAAUAAUCAGGUAAGGAUGGCAGGUGCUCACGAUUGUCACCCCUCUGUGAGUGAACACACUGAGGCUCAGGGAGGACAAUGACUCAGGAACAAGGUCGAAUCGCAGGUGGGAGGUGGAGCUGGUAUUUAAUGGUGUCCUCCACCCCCCGGCACUGGGGAAGGACAUGCAAGGCUUGCACUGACUUUUCCUGGCAAGCUUGUGAUUCCCAGCCAGAACGCAGGUGGCAAUGUUGUGAUUCCUGGCGUAACCUUCAAUGCUUCAACGAUAAUCUCUGCCAGUGCCAGGCACCAGCUGAGUGUCACUGUGCAACUCCCAGGCUUAAGUGAUGCAUGCCGAGGUUUUCGGAGCAGCCUCUCAUUUAUUAGUUGUGUUGGAAAGAAAUCUCUAAUACCUAACUGGAUACCUCUGGAUUUUAACAGCUGUGGUUUAUAAAAGAUUUGGGAAGGAGCUUGUUUUCAAAGUGCCUUUCAGAAAGUAUCACCUUAGAUUUGAGUUUCCAUUGUGUUCCAGUAGGAUAACUUGCAACACUUCUAUACUCGGAAACCCAAUCACGCAAGAAAAAUCGGGUUAUAUUUUCAUAUAGCCCAUUUUGGCAAAUGUGCCUCCAUACCUCUUUCCCUCUGCCUUGCCCUUUAUUGGCAAUAGUCCAGAUGGAAGAGUUUUAUGUCAAAUGUUGAGUAUCUUGGAAGAUGUCUUGCAAAGACAUGACUGCUUUGCGGGGUGCUGGAGAGUUGUCAUUGGACUGGGAAACCUGAAGGUCCCGUCUAGUCUGAGAUGUUUUGAUUUUAGAACUAAUUAAUCUCAACUCUUAACCUGAAAUGAUAAUAGCUACCAUUUAUUGGGCACUUUCCGUGUUCCAGGCUCUGUGCUAAAAUCUUAGCCUCAUUACUCUGACUGCUACCAAUCCCCCACCAAUAUUAUCCCCAUUAUACACAUGAAGAAACUGGGGUUUAGGGAAAUUAAAAACUUGUCCAGUGGCAUAAAUUUCAGAUUUAGUAACUGAUGCCCACCUGGAAAUUGAUUAUGGAGCAUUCUAAUUCUAUGCAUUAAGCCCACAAUUUAAUCAGAAUGAAAU